CAAAAUGGAUGUUGAAACUGUGGCGCACAUUUCUCGGCAACAUUAGAAGUCUGGUAAAAGUAUUGAUUUGAAGGAAAGAGGAGCAGAUUCUGGAUCCAUUUUGAGACGACAGAGCAGAAAACACUAUAUGGAGAUUAUUGAAAAAUAAAGACUGCUUACAAUUAUUAAAGUCCUACAGUAACAUUUUGGAGGAAAACAACACAGCUAAACUUGGUUUCAAGUAAAUUAUAUGUUUAUCAAAAAUAAUGUAAGAGAGAUGUCUUGAAGAAACUCGUCUGGGAUAAGAACUCUGUGUCUCUGCGACAGUGGGAGGUUUGUUUUGCAUGGCCCGGUGCUACAGGGGUCAGUGCUCUAAAAUGAGUCUCUCUGGGGAGAGAGAGGAGGAGGGCGCUGCCUCUAAAAUGAGUCUCUCUGGGG